rnacentral:rRNA from 1 species
GACGAACGCUGGCGGCGUGCCUAAUACAUGCAAGUAGAACGCUGAAGAGAGGAGCUUGCUCUUCUUGGAUGAGUUGCGAACGGGUGAGUAACGCGUAGGUAACCUGCCUGGUAGCGGGGGAUAACUAUUGGAAACGAUAGCUAAUACCGCAUAAAAUGGAUUAUCGCAUGAUAAUUCAUUGAAAGGUGCAAAUGCAUCACUACCAGAUGGACCUGCGUUGUAUUAGCUAGUUGGUGGGGUAACGGGCUCACCAAGGCGACGAUACAUAGCCGACCUGAGAGGGUGAUCGGCCACACUGGGACUGAGACACGGCCCAGACUCCUACGGGAGGCAGCAGUAGGGAAUCUUCGGCAAUGGACGGAAGUCUGACCGAGCAACGCCGCGUGAGUGAAGAAGGUUUUCGGAUCGUAAAGCUCUGUUGUAAGAGAAGAACGGGUGUGAGAGUGGAAAGUUCACACUGUGACGGUAUCUUACCAG